rnacentral:misc_RNA from 1 species
UCCCGGUUAACCCGGGCAGUCUCGCUAGAGUUCCCACCAUUACGUGCUGGCAACUAACGAUAAGGGUUGCGCUCGUUGCGGGACUUAACCCAACACCUCACGGCACGAGCUGACGACAGCCAUGCAGCACCUGUGUAGCAGUUCCGAAGAAAAACUCUAUUUCUAGAGCUGUCCACUACAUGUCAAGUCUGGGUAAGGUUCUUCGCGUUGCAUCGAAUUAAACCACAUGCUCCACUGCUUGUGCGGGUCCCCGUCAAUUCUUUUGAGUUUCACCCUUGCGAGCGUACUCCCCAGGCGGCAUACUUAUCGCGUUAGCUACGGCAAAGCCAGGGUUGAAGCUGGCUACACCAAGUAUGCAUCGUUUACGGCUAGGACUAC